rnacentral:lncRNA from 1 species
GUGCCGGUGUGUGAGGCGAGGACAUCGAGGUGGAUGAUGGCGGCUCUCCUCUUUUUGCUGCAGUUUCUCUUCUUUGGGACUUUAGUUGUCCCAGCAUAUAUGCAGAUGCCAGAAUGCAAUCUGACUCAGAGUACAGACACAGGCAAUUUCUCUGUAACCGUGACACCCCAGGACUACAGCCCAAACACCACCUACAUAGUUACGAUAGUUGACAGCAAUAACACCAGAAAUGCGACCAACUAUUUACUGCAGGCCAUAGCCAUCCAAAAUGUCUCUGUUGGAGAAUGGAGUGUGCCAGAGCAGCAAAACUGCAGUGCUCUUACCACAGCAGUGUUACCAAACACUCAGAAAACAGCAAACUGGACAUCCCCAGCCACUAACUUCUCUUCUGUGGAAAUAAGGGCAUACAUUGUCUUUGAAAAUAAUUCCACUGUGUUCAGGACUGUGACUCUGACCCAAGGAGCAAAGCCAACCAGCAGCACCAACUCCGUCUCCACAGUUCAGAGCAGCUCCUUCUUCAUAGCCACCAUCCAGCUGCUGAUGCUCCUCGCCACAAGCAAACUGCUCUCCUAGGCGUCGGGGAGAGAAGAUGACCCAGCUGUGCUGUACCUUCCCUUCCUGCCUACAGCACUCGUGGCAGAGCAGGCAGCUGAUCUACUCAGGAAAAUUAUUAACUUCUUGUGUGUAUUCGGAUGAUAACUGCACUUCUACAUUAAAUGAUAAGGGUCUAUGGCUACAAAGCUCCCCUUAAUCCCCUCACCCAGGAGCAGCACACCCAGCAAGGUGAAAUGUUUGUGGCAAGCCAGACCUCACUGUGGGUAGGACAGCUGAAAAGCAUAGCCAAGGUCAUUUAGGAGCAGACCCUGUCCAACCAAGGGGCACUGGGUGAGCUCAUCCCUUCCUCGUCACCUGGGGCUCUGUGAAGCACAAAAAAAAAGUGUGAAAGCACUCACAAGAGGGAAAAGGCCUUCUUCUCUUUGUGAAUUGGGGUCUGCUGAGAAGCUCAAGGUGAGGUUUGCCACCAUCUUAAAGCCUCCAGCACAAGCACAGUGAAGACAAAGGCACCCACCAAGCCUCCACCUGGGGAGGGGAGCCCUCCCCGAGACAAGCUGGAGAUCCUGCUGGCAGGGUGUCCUCCCCAGAGACCCCAGGCCUUGGAAACUCACACUGUGUUAUUCUCUAGCCCAGCAUUCCCUGAUUUUUUCUGUUUCACUGGAUGCCCUGUAAAGGUCCCCUGGAUUUGUUCUGGCUUUCUGGAAUGAGAGGUUGGGUAUUUUUUAUUCUCAUUUUUUAAUCAGCAACUGAUUUUGCUGUGGGGUAAGAUUGGGUGGGCCACUGAAUGUCUUGAUUUUAUUGUUUGUAUUUUUAUAUGAAUAGAGGUUAUUUAGGGGUUUUCAAAACUUCUGGAAAGUAAUUUUAUCUUAAAUUAAUCUAAAUAAAUUAAGGAAUGAAAGUUGGCUCUUGCA